rnacentral:tRNA from 1 species
GCCCGGCUGGUCCGCGGCCUGGACCUGGCGCUGCUGCCGUCGGACGCCCCGGCGCCGCCCGGCGAGCCGCUGUUCAGCCGCUGACCGAGAG